ACUACAUGUGUGUCACAAUGCUGGUAUAUGGUUUCUUGAACUUUUAUUGCAGUACAUAUCGUAGUACAGAAACCAUAUGUCUAUCUUAGGCAUAACAAUUUAUAAAACAAAAGCUUUUUAUUUUAGACACAGAAUACGAAAUGCUUGAUAAAUUUCACAAUUUUACAAAUUUGUUGAAUUUUGAAAGUGCACAGAAUAGGACUGUAAAUGGCAAUAUUGAGAAACCAAACACUAAAGUAAAAAGUCCUUGCCCUGAGAAAUUUAAUUACGAAAAAAUGCUAUGAUUAAUGGUUUUUGUUGGAUUUCGACAAGCCAUAUGACUUGUUAUUAGGAAAUGAUUUUAUUUUCAAAAAAUUUUUAAAUUAUUGAUAUAGAAAAAAUGAAUAUAGCUUUGAAAAAUGGAACAAUCAUUCCUUUCCAUAUGAAAACUGUUCAGGAACAGGUUUAUUCAUUGGAAGUGAGUGAACAAAAAAAUAUUGCACUUGAUCAUGAAAUCAUCAGAUGAAAAAAGCAAGAUUGAAAUUCUAUUAAACCAAUUCCACAAAUUAUUUUACAAAGAGGAUGACAAUCUCACCGACACAGAAACUUUGGUGCAUGAGAUUAAGACCACAACAAAUCAGCAAAUCAAUUCAAGAAUCUAUAGACUACCUCCAAAACACGAAGAACAGUAGGUGAAAAUGAAUAUUUGAACAAUUUUUGCUAUCGGACAAAGGCCGGAGGAAGAGUGGAAAAUGUCAAAUACCCCGUGCGGUCUGGAAGUGUAAGCUGCGCACAUUAUGUGAGGACUCUUUUGGUUUCUUUCGGAGUUUUUAUAAGAUCUGUGCUUUCAUUAAUUUCACUAGUACUAGAUUCAUCUGAGAGGAGGGUUUCUAUAAAAAAUAAAGAAUUCUAAAUCUAACACGGCACCGUUCAAGUCUUAACAUCCAUGCUGUAGUAUUUCCAUUGAACUAAUUUCGGUGAAUUUAUGUCCUUGUAAAGCGAUACAACAACGUUAUGAUUCCUCAAUACAAGGUAAUGAAAUGAAACAUUUCUUGAUUUUUAUACAAGUUCAAGAGAUGGAGAUGAAGAACAUUACCAAAUGGCCAUAAGAUGCAAGAUUUGCGAUAUAAGCAAUCCCAUGGCAUUACCUGAAGCGGCGUAAGAAAAUAUUCAGAAAGCGGUUUAGACUGACCAAAGAUGCAUUUACUUUUAUCCUAUCGGGAUUAAAAUUUAAAGGUGCAAGCUAUCACUAACAGUUGGAAACGACUUUUUAAUUGGCUUGUGUCAAAGCUCAGUGUGUAAAAUUGUAGGGAACGUAGUUAAAGAGUUGAAAACGGAAACAUUGUCCAAAUUUCAGAGGUAUGUUUGUCGACUAACUGAUGAACUGGUGAAAAUGGUGUGCCAACCAACUACAAAUGGACAUAUGUUUUUCGAAAAUCAUUUUUUAAGGUCCAGAUGGUGUAGCAGAAAAUCACUCAUAAAUUUUUUUGUCGCAUAUUUAUUAUGUUAACCUUUGUCCUUAAAUCAGUAGUUAUAAUUAUAACAUAUAUUAAAUAAAAUCAAUAAAAAAAAAUUAACUUUUAUUUUGCCUCUGAUUAUUUGUAACUGAUUAUAAUUUAAUUUUUUUUAAUUCGUACGAUACGUUUAACAAAAAGUUACGCCACGUCCAGCGUAGACACGGGUACGAUUUACCAAUGUAUACGGGCCCACUAUAUCGUGCGUGAAAAACCAAAAGCGUCCAAUUACAAUGCGAUUAUGCGUUGAUGCUGGAGGCCCCAAUAAAAUGAUUACUCUGUGUGAAAUGGCCCUGUUUAGCCAUUUUUUUUAAUAAACAAACGAUUAUUGCUUUUAUACCAAAAAAUAUUUCUGUUUUGAACUUUCAAAAUUAUAAUUUAAAUUUUCACAAUGGAAAUGUCAUAUUUUUUCACGAUUCCGCGGGCAAAAUCAAACGAGUUUGAUUUUCAAACAUUGAGUGCGAUGCAUCGACGGCGAAAUGCAUGCAUUAUCGCAAAAUCGUGCUUACAUUGGACAUUUACAUUCGCUAGCAUAUUUUUGGAUUAGUCGUGCCUACGCUGGACGUGGCGUUAACGACUGAUAUUUCGAUUGCGAAUGACGAAAUUUCAAAUAUCGAAAGUGUGCAUUCGAUAGCAAGUACCGUGAUCUGAAAACAAAAAUUACACAUGAAUUUCGGUCGUUAACGAGUGCCGAGGUUCGGGCCCAAAAUCGGAUAGAUAGACUGAUACCCGAGUCAAACUUAUCCAUAAAGCCACAAUAAAGAAGGUUCGGUUUAAACAAACACGAAUGAAAAUAACGACCUUUAGCAUGAAAAAUAUCUAGCCCAAGAGCAAAGGACUUACUGAAAUUAGAGAAUAAUUAUUAACUACUUUAAAACAAGUAAGAAAAGGCUAAGUUCGGGUGCAACCGAACGUUUUAUACUCUCGCAAUUUAUUUAGAGAUUUACCUAUAUUUUCGGUGAAAAAUUACCCUUAGGCACUGAGUUCUUCAUGUUUGAUAUCAGGGGCCUUGAAAAGUCAUGGUUCGAUUUUGACAAUUUUUCCACAAGUGAUGUCACAGCUUAAAUACAAUAUUUGUGUAAAGUUUUAUUUCGCUAUCUUUAUCGGUUUCUUAUGUACACAUUAUAAAGUGAACGAAUCAGAUGAAGUUCAAAAUUGAGUUAUAUGGGAAGUAGGCGUAGUUGAACCGAUUUCGCCCAUAUUCCACCAGUGUCAUCAGGGUGUCAAAAAAAUAUUAUAUACCGAAUUUCAUUGAAAUCUGUCGAGUAGUUCUUGAGAUAUGGUUUUUGACCCAUAAGUGGGCGACGCCACGCCCAUUUUCCAUUUUGUAAAAAAAUCUGAGUGCAUCUUCCUUCUGCCAUUUCUUAUGCAAAAUUUGGUGUUUCUGACGUUUCUCGUUAGUGAGUUAACGCACUUUUAGUCAUUUUCAACAUAACCUUUGUAUUGGAGGUGGGCGUGGUUAGAUUUCUUUCAUUUUUGGACUGUAUAAGGAAACGGCUAAAAGAAACGACUGCAGAAAGAUUGGUUCAUAUAGCUUUAUUGGUUUGCAAGAUAUAUACAAAAAACCUAUUUGGAGGCGGGGUCACGCCCACUUUUCCAAAAAGAUUACAUUCAAAUGUGCUUCUCCCUAAUGCGAUCCUAUGUUCCAAAGUUUAUUUUCAUAACUUUAUUUAUGGCUUAGUUAUAGCUCUUUAUGUGUUUUUGGUUAUCGCCAUUUUGUGGGCGUGGCAGUGGUCCGAUUCCGCCCAUCUUCGAACUUAACCUUCUUAUGGUGCCAAGGAAUACGUGUUCCAAGUUUCAUUAAGAUAUCUCAAUUUUUACUCAAGUUACAGCUUGCACGGACGGACAGACGGACGGACGGACAGACAGACAUCCGGAUUUGAACUUUACUCGUCACCCUGAUCACUUUGGUAUAUAUAACUCGUUUAGUUUUAGGACUUAGAAACAACCGUUAUGUGAACAAAACUAUAAUACUCUCUUAGCAACUUUUGUUGCGAGAGUAUAACAACUAUUGAAAUGCAUUAGGGCAAGACUCCGUCAGAAGAAAAGCGAUUUGUAAGUGGUCUUCCGAUUAUUUUGAAACUUUGGGAAAUAGUAGUCUUAUAUAAGUAACUUUUAACCCAAAAAGAAUUUUGAAAAAUUUUCAAAAUGGCGGCCGCUAUGCCAUGUUGAAAAAAAUGCAGUGUUUUUUUCAGAAAUUAAUAUCUCCGAAACUUCUUAAUCGAUUUUAAUGAAAUUUACAGACGAUAUAAUUAAUAGUACGUAGUUUAAUGUUAUAUUAUGACAAAAAAAUUUCCUAAUUUUGACCAAACAAAUGUCAAAAAAAAUUUUUGAGUUAAUUUUUAGUUAAUUUGGCCACUUUCUUUAACUUUCUAAUAAAAAUUUUUCGAUUCCUUAUGAUUGCAUCUUUAUUUAAAAAAAAAAGAAAAUUUUGGAGACUUGAAUAGUUUUCGAGAUAUUGAGAUUUUAGUGGGAGCAUGCACCACGAUUUCUAUGUACUGCGUUGCCGUACCGUUAAACAUGCACGAACCUACAUUAGCUACCCUGCACAUUGAACGCGUAUAACAUAACGCUGUUUGGCGUGCACCUACAUCGUUGGAGAUUUAUAAAAAAUAGGUAAGUUUAAAUAGAUUUUAAGUUGAAUAGAUUUUAAGUUGAACGGCACCUAAAGCAAUAUUUGGGUUUCCAAAAUGCCACGAUAUAAAUGCUUUAAUCCUUAGCGACAUGCUUUAGUUGAUAAAACAAAUGUCCGCCCUAUUUCAAAAGAAAUAGUUGAAACAUUUUCAAUUGAUAGCAAUAAUUUUAUUUGCAAUACUUGCAGCUUUUUGAGCUUGUUUAUAUGGCACUUCAAAUUCGGUUGCUAUUUUGAGAGUACUCCAACUCUUUGGAACCAUUGUUAACAGUUCUAUUUUUCGAGAUUUGCAAGGAUUUUUUCUUAACUCUGCUUUAAUUUCAUCAAUUAAAUCUUCUAAAUCAUUUUUAGCACAGUUUCAGUUUCUUCAUAUUGAAAUACUUUUUUCAAUUUAUUUUCAAAAACCUUCCGAAUUUCACUUACCUUUUCUUUUGUGCCGCCUGCGUACGAAGAUCCCUGCUGCUAACAAUUGGUGAAAUACUUAAUAUUCUCAAAAUUUUAUUUAAUUCUUCAAUAUCUUUUUCACUUUCAUAAACAAAAUUAAUAUUUUCCAUUGCAUUAUUAUCUAAAUAAUCUGGUUGACAAAACUCUUCUUUGUUUACAUUUUCAACAGUGUGAAAUAAUUCUUGCACUUGUAUCAAGGUUGAUGGUUCUAACUUUGUAACUUGUAAACGGCAAGUAUUGCAAAUAAAAUUAUUGCUAUCAAUUGAAAUUGUUUCAACUAUUUCUUUUGAAACAGGGCGGACAUUUGUUUUAUCAACUAAAGCAUGUCGCUGUUUUUUAAAAGGAUUAAAGCAUUUAUAUCGUGUUUUUGUGGAAACCCAAAUAUUGCUUUAGGUGCCUUUAAACUUAAAAUCUAUUCAACUUAAAAUCUAUUUAAACUUACCUAAUUUUUAUAAAUCUCCAACGAUGUAGGUGCACGCCAAACAGCGUUAUGUUAUACGCGUUCAAUGUGCAGGGUAGCUAAUGUAGGUUCGUGCAUGUUUAACGGUACAGGAACGCAGUACAUAGAAAUCGUGGUGCUAUUCAAGUCUCCAAAAUUUGCUUUUUUUUUAAAUAAAGGUGAAAUCAUAAGGAAUCGAAAAAUGUUUAUUAGAAAGUUAAAAAAAGUGGCCAAAUUAACUAAAAAUUAACUCAAAAAAUUUUUUGACAUUUGUUUGGUCAAAAUUAGGAAAUUUUUUUUUGUCAUAAUAUAACAUUAAACUGC